rnacentral:rRNA from 1 species
GAUGAACGCUGGCGGCGUGCCUAAUACAUGCCAGUCGAGCGAACAGAUGAGGAGCUUGCUCCUUUGACGUUAGCGGCGGACGGGUGAGUAACACGUAGGUAACCUACCUAUAAGACUGGGAUAACUUCGGGAAACCGGAACUAAUACCGGAUAAUAUUUCGAACUGCAUGGUUCGAUAGUGAAAGAUGGCUUUGCUAUCACUUAUAGAUGGACCUGCGCCGUAUUAGCUAGUUGGUAAGGUAACGGCUUACCAAGGCAACGAUACGUAGCCGACCUGAGAGGGUGAUCGGCCACACUGGAACUGAGACACGGUCCAGACUCCUACGGGAGGCAGCAGUAGGGAAUCUUCCGCAAUGGGCGAAAGCCUGACGGAGCAACGCCGCGUGAGUGAUGAAGGUCUUCGGAUCGUAAAACUCUGUUAUUAGGGAAGAACAAACGUGUAAGUAACUGUGCACGUCUUGACGGUACCUAAUCAGAAAGCCACGGCUAACUACGUG